UAUUCCGUGUUCGUCUCCUAUAUUUAAAUACAAGCCUACAUGUUUUUGAAUAUAAAUGUUGCAUAAUAAAUAAAGUAUACAUGGUUAUUCCCAUUUGAUAACAGAAUGAUAUCGUUCUCGGAUGAAUAUCGGAAGGAAAUCUUCGGCAAGCCGCAGGCUUCCCUAUAUAGAUUUCAUCCUCGCCUGACAUCAAUCGGUCAUGAAAAGACAGUAACCAUGUAUAAUUUAUGUACAAAUAAAAUUUCAAAACCAUCUCAAUACCAAAAGCAUCGAUAGAUAUAUUAAAAUCAUUAUUAUUCGAAAGCAAGAAGUUACGUUUUUUUUCGGCAAAGCUGUUUAACCCAGAUUUCACCUUAAAUGACGUAUAUAUAACGCCAGUAGACCCAAAUGCAUACAUUGGAAUAUUUAAUUCGCGGAUUCGAGAGAAAUCUCCUAGUACUUUGACCAUAAUACUGCAUAUAGCACAGCGUAAAGGAUGUACCACUGUUCAAUGAAAGGAACUGCGAACUACUCACUGUAUUUCCAUAAAGUUUGGUCCAGUAACAAUGACGCGUUAAAAUCCAUAUCGCAGAAUUUCAAUUUCACUAGGCGGCCACUGAAUACUCAGUGGAAAAAUAAAAGGACAAUCGAUAAAUGCUUAAAACGCUGUAUUGCUUUCUCGAUGAUGAUACACACACUUCCAAAGAUGUAUAGUGUCAUGAUAACAGGAAAAUCUUCUAAGUAUCUUAGCACUAAUGUUUUUUCCCGUCUGGAAAUCGUUCCUGAAAUCUGAAAAGGCCACCGGAAUUUGCCAUUUUGCCAUCCGAAACUGGGUCUAAUGUCAUAUUAUGUCAGCUUUGCUAUAGUCCAGCUUGCGCAUCUCGCAGUCUGAUCAGGUGAUACCUAAUGAAGUCUUAAGUGAUUUUAAAGCGGCCAGCGCAGCUACUGACCAGACUGAGAAAUUGCGCAGGCCGAAACGCCAUUAGACCCAUAUUUGAACACGCGGCUUCUGACGUGUAAUUUGAAUGUUUAAAAAUAGCAGUGCGUGUUAAUCAAAUAUUAAAUUACCAUUUUAUUUGAUGGUGGAGAAAUAAGCUCAUAAUAAGCUUUAUGAGGUCACAUGUGAUUUGACUUCCCGUAUUUCAAUUUUUAUGAAGCAUCACUUUUACGUGGUUUGAAUACACAUGCACUUAACAACGCAUAUAUAGUUUAUGCAGUUUGAGGUAAUUAACAACUGAAAAAAACCGACAACAGCAAUUCAUCUUUUUUUUUAAUUUAAUUAUUUACAAACGGAAAUGCUUCAACUUUAUUUCAAAGUCAGGGUAUACGCCGAAUAUCUUUUUAAAUAUAUUUCUUGAUGUAAAUGUAACUUUUCUGGUCUUUAAUGUAUAUGGUUACAGCUACUGUACUAUCGAUAUAAUUAUUGCUAUUUAAGAAUAUAUUCGUCCGUCAUUAAGUCUGUUAGUCUGUCAGUAGGUUUGUUGAUUUGAAACUCUUUCACAAUUUGUUUAGAAACCUAAUUUUGCCAUACAAAGCCCUAAUCCGACACAAACACACAUUGAAAACGCAUUUAAAUCAGUAAAAAGGGUCAUUCUAAGUUGUAUAGUUUCAAUACUGUGAUAGAACGGGCUAAAGCGAAUGAUUCCUCAGUACCAGAAGAGAUCUCACGUAUUUAUUGCGCAUCAGGCUCCGUUAAACUUAAAUUUCAAUGCAUUUCGUACAAACGAAAAUGAGUUCAGUGAAUUGAACGUCGUACGAAUUAAUGCCAUUGGAGCAUGCGUUGAAUGUCAUGUGGACAAUCGCUUCUAAGCUUUCCUAAUAGCUUGGUACACAUGACUACUUAUACUUCAUGAACUUGAUUAUGGUACAUGUCACAUUUAAAAUCAGAUGUACAUAUGUCUAAAAGGGCUUAUUCGAGCUCCGACUUCCCUUAAAUCAAAUGUAUAAAUUUUUACUCACCGAUUUCUCUAAAUGCCCGACAUAAUUUGUUAUAAGUUAAAAGGUCCAAGGACACAAUGCAAUUGGUAUUUCUAACCUACUUGUCAUAGUUUGCCAGUGAAAUAUUAAUCAAAACAUUUGCAAGACUAUUGUGGGAUAUCUCAUAUCGCCUGGUAGCUCUUGUUUUGUCGAAAUUAUAUGAACUAAUCAAAAUAUUGCACGCAGGUAAUGGGCCGGUUUUACCAGAUUCGAAAACUUCGUUUGGAGAAGGCUUUUCUAUCACCAUGCCUUAUAAACCACCGUAUAAAUCACCAACAUUUGCAACAGGAACGUCUACAGUCUACAGUUGGAAUACGCCUUGUACAUGGCUUUAGAUUUCAUGACUGUAAACGGUAAACACAUUUUAAAACACGGAUUAACGUCAUGAGUGGAAUGAAGCAAUUUAAAAACUACAGUCUUGAGGAGUUGCGUUACUUCGAUUGUCGAUUGUUAGAAACAACGACGGUGGUCGGACCAACAACGAUAAGUAAAAAUCAGACAUUUAUGUAUCCCAAAGGCACAGACGAAGAAGAAGGAGAGAAACAGGCAUUAACAACUAGGCAUAUUUGUAUUACAGCUAUAAAGGAAUAUGAGGAUUGUAGUUUAGAGGAACUGCGGUAUGCAGAUAGUGUUGUACCACAAUUGGUUUAACAACUUGACUACGAGAGUCUUAAUUAUUUAAAUAGAAAACCAACACAAACGGACACGUCCAGAUGGUCUUACCCGUUCAAAGGAUUGCCUGUUGAGAUUGCAGGUGAAGAAGAAAAGACAACAGUAAAACAGAACGAAGGUGUAGAAGAAAAUACAACAAAUAACCAGAAUGCAGGUGUAGAAGAAAAGACAACAAUAAACCAGAAUGCAGGUGUAGAAGAAAAGACAACAGUAAACCAGAAUGAAGGUGUAGACGACAAGACAUUAGUAAACCAGAAUGCACGUGUACUAGAAAAGACAAUAGUAAACCAGAAAGUGAUUGAUUGUAAAACCUGGAUUUAUCAAACGAUUGCCGAGAAAGGUUCGGAUGAUUUGUCUGAACAUUCGCCUAAACACUCUUUUGUUAAUUAUCUACAACGAUUUAACAAACCAGGCGAUGAAACAGAAAACACGGCGAAAAAAGUAACAGAUGCGUUACUAAAAAGAGUGUAUGUUGAUCCUAUUGAAGAUGCUGCCAACUCAUCUACAGAAUUAGGUAAUCUUUACUUGAAUACCCCAGCGUCAAGUGCGUUACAUUUUGAUCACCAGUCAACAUUAUCAAUUUCUGAAUCGGAAGUAGUUAUAUUGCCAAAUAUUUCAUCACAAGAUCGUUCGUCGUUUCAAUCUAAUUUAUUAUCCUCAUCCGAUGGAGCAACCAAUAUUUCGAAUGAUAAAACAGGAUUGUUUUCAAGACUUUUUAAAACAGAUGCACCGUUUUCAUUUGAAAAUGUACCAGACUUCAGUGAAACAAUUGUGAGGAGCUCUGAUCGAACGUU